GGGCCGUUAGCUCAGCUGGCAGAGCAGGGGACUCUUAAUCCCAAGGUCGUCGGUUCGACCCCGACACGGCCCACCA
rnacentral:tRNA from 3 species